rnacentral:rRNA from 1 species
AUGUCAAAACGACUCUCGGCAACGGAUAUCUCGGCUCUUGCAUCGAUGAAGAACGCAGCGAAAUGCGAUACUUGGUGUGAAUUGCAGAAUCCCGUGAACCAUCGAGUCUUUGAACGCAAGUUGCGCCCGAAGCCAUUAGGCCGAGGGCACGUCUGCCUGGG